rnacentral:rRNA from 1 species
GAUGAACGCUGGCGGCGUGCCUAAUACAUGCAAGUCGAGCGGACAGACGAGGAGCUUGCUCCUCUGACGUUAGCGGCGGACGGGUGAGUAACACGUGGAUAACCUACCUAUAAGACUGGGAUAACUUCGGGAAACCGGAGCUAAUACCGGAUAAUAUAUUGAACCGCAUGGUUCAAUAGUUAAAGACGGUUUUGCUGUCACUUAUAGAUGGAUCCGCGCCGCAUUAGCUAGUUGGUAAGGUAACGGCUUACCAAGGCGACGAUGCGUAGCCGACCUGAGAGGGUGAUCGGCCACACUGGAACUGAGACACGGUCCAGACUCCUACGGGAGGCAGCAGUAGGGAAUCUUCCGCAAUGGGCGAAAGCCUGACGGAGCAACGCCGCGUGAGUGAUGAAGGUCUUCGGAUCGUAAAACUCUGUUAUUAGGGAAGAACAAAUGUGUAAGUAACUAUGCACGUCUUGACGGUACCUAAUCAGAAAGCCACGGCUAACUACGUG